GGAUGUUCUGAAGACCUGCUCUCUAGGCCACAUACUGGUCAGGACGCUGGUUCCUCCAAGGGCUCCCGAACCCGCUUAGGGGAAAGUCCCCGGACCCCAGGCAGACAGUGCCGCUCGCUCCACAGCGUGCAGUGACCCUUCUCGCCGGCUCACAUUCUCGCCGCCAAGAAGCCCUUCGGGCUGAGCGGGUGGGCGUGGGAUGGGCUGCGCGUCACUCCUACAGGAAUGCAGGUAGUGCGCAGGCGUGUUUCCCGCCACCGCCGCACCAACAGAACGGGGCUCAUUCUCAGAACGCC
rnacentral:RNase_MRP_RNA from 1 species